GACACAGCCAGCUCCUGCGGCCAUUCAGGCUCACUGUUCCUCAUCUGGGAUCUGAGCCCACGUGGAGCUGUGCUUACAAAGCCGUCCACGUGUCCGACGGGCACCCAGACGCAAGAAGACUCCCAAAGCAUGCAAUCUCUCCAAGGGGAGAAAGAGGAUCAAUGGAUACCAGGCACCGGCUCCCAGGGUGGCCUGGGCUUGAGGUGGCGUGCGGGUAUGGAAGAAGGGACUGCACCUAUCACUGGUAUCUGCAACUCAAGCCGAGGUACCCCUAUAUUAUAUGCGGAUGGCAGGAGGAAAAGCACUGCCUGGUACCAAUAUACCCUUCCUAAUCUGGCUCAUUAGUGGCACAGGCUGAUUGGAG